rnacentral:rRNA from 1 species
CGCAUCUGUGCAUGCAGCAUAUCAAUAAGCGGAGGAAAAGAAACUAACAAGGAUUCCCUUAGUAACGGCGAGUGAAGCGGGAAGAGCUCAAAUUUGAAAUCUUCAAGGUUUUACCUUGACUAAUUGUAGUUUAAAGAAGUGUUUUCUGUUGAAGUUUUGGUAAAAGUUCUUUGGAAUAGGACAUCAUAGAGGGUGAGAAUCCCGUAUUUGACCAUUUACUUUCAGCUGUGUGAUACACUUUCAAAGAGUCGGAUUGUUUGGGAAUGCAGUCCAAAAUGAGUGGUAAAUUUCAUCUAAAGCUAAAUAUUGGCGAGAGGACCGAUAGCGAACAAGUACCGUGAGGGAAAGAUGAAAAGAACUUUGAAAAGAGAGUUAAACAGUACGUGAAAUUGUCAAAAGGGAAGCGUUUGACACCAGUGUUGUUUUCUCGAAAAUCAAUUAAAAAGAGUUUGAUUUUGUUGUGUAUUGACCUUAACAGCUUGCAUUUCAAUUUUCUUGCUUUUUUUAAUGCACUUUUCGUUUAACAAGUCAACAUCAGUUUCUUUUGUUGUAAAAAGGUCAUUGGAAGGUGGCUUUCUUUUCGGAGAAAGUGUUUAUAGCCUUUGACUCCUGCAAUCGGAGAGACUGAGGUCUGCAGCGUAGAUCCUUCGGGGUUAGAUACAUUUGUGCUAAGUUAUAGCUUCUUAUAGACAACUUGUUGACUAUGAUUAGUCUUGUAGCUUACUCGCUUAUGCUAUUUUACCUACGCUUAGGAUGUUGAUGUGAUACUGCGAGCA